rnacentral:lncRNA from 1 species
CCCAAUAAUCAAACAAAGCAAAUAUGAAAUAGAAAAUAGAACCAGGAACCAAAAUAAAACAAAAAUCUGAACUCAAAACAACAAGAACAAUAAUUACACGAUGCGCAAUCAAACAAAAGCAAACCAUAUGGAGAAGUGAAAAAAAAAUCAAAUGCUAAUUUCUAAGUAUCAAAUUCGCCAAAUAGUGCAAGUGAGAGAGACCCAAAAAAUGG